rnacentral:rRNA from 1 species
CCUACGGGCGGCAGCAGUGGGGAAUAUUGCACAAUGGGGGAAACCCUGAUGCAGCGACGCCGCGUGAAGGAAGAAGUAUUUCGGUAUGUAACCUUCUAUCAGCAGGGAAGUAAAUGACGGUACCUGACUAAGAAGCCCUGGCUAACUACGUGCCAGCAGCCGCGGUAAUACGUAGGGGGCAAGCGUUAUCCGGAUUUACUGGGUGUAAAGGGAGCGUAGGAGGCGAUGCAAGUCAGCAGUGAAAGCCCGGGGCGCAACGCCGGGACUGCUUUUGAAACUGUGUUGCUAGAUUGCAGGAGAGGUAAGUGGAAUUCCUAGUGUAGCGGGGAAAUGCGUAGAUAUUAGGAGGAACACCAGGGGCGAAGGCGGCUUACUGGACUGUAAAUGACGCUGAGGCUCGAAAGCGUGGGGAGCAAACAGGAUCAGAGACCCGUGUAGUC